ACUGCUUUCUUCGGUGUGACCGACGGACGCGAUUCAUAGUUUUGAAGAACACCUUCAAAUGUUUCCGCACGUCAGUGAGUAGCAGCGCCGCAAUCCUUUGUCGACGACGCGUUCUGUCGCCCUGGAAAAUGCUUUGACGCUCGGGGACGGCCGGUAGCUCGGCGAUUCCUCGCUUGGCGCACCAUUGGAAACCGGCGGUCAUCUAGCAGUGUACGCUGCCAGCGUAUUUUUUAUUGCCAGAGGUAGCAAACAGCAGUGCCUCGACAAACAGUGGAGUGCUGACCAUGCAGACCAGAAGGUGGCUGAGGCAAGUAUGCUAUAGGAGGUGCUUAUUCAGGCAGAAGAAAUAAGCAUCUGUAGCCAACGUAAAGGAAGCAUCUUCAAAAAGCAGUGCUACAAGGAUGUGAGCAGCAGUUUCCCUUCAACGAACGGGUCAAAUUCAUGGAAGCCACGUGCCUGCUGCUUCUGGCCUACACAAACAUGCAGCCACCAUAGUAAAGUUCUUGCAAAGACAUUCUACACGAACUUGCCCAAAGGCGGAAGGAAGGCACGCACAGAUGGACGCAUAGAAAUCAUGGGGCUGCCGUAGAAGCUGUGAAUGAGCAUUAACCUACGUACAGAAAGGAGCGAAGUGGAGCUGUCCAUGGGCCGUGCACACAGUUUCAUAAGCAGGCUUGCAACACUUUUGACAAAUAUGUUCCUGAAUACAUCUGCCAAAGUGGCAUUUAAAGAAGCAUGUAGUAGUGUACUUCACUGUUUAUUUGGCAUGAAGCAGCAGGUAUGCU